UGCAACCUGAGCUCAGGCGUGAUUACCCG
rnacentral:rRNA from 2 species